AUUGAACGCUGGCGGCAGGCCUAACACAUGCAAGUCGAACGAGUGGCGGACGGGUGAGUAAUGUCUGGGAAACUGCCCGAUGGAGGGGGAUAACUACUGGAAACGGUAGCUAAUACCGCAUACCAUCGGAUGUGCCCAGAGGGGAUGAGCUAGUAGGUGGGGUAACGGCUCACCUAGGCGACGAUCCCUAGCUGGUCUGAGAGGAUGACGGGCAACACUGGAACUGAGCAACGGUCCAGACUCCUACGGGAGGCAGCAGGGGGAAAUUUUGCACAAUGGGCGCAAGCCGGAUGCAGACAGGCGGGGUGUAUGAAGAGGGCCUUCGGGUUGAAAAGUACUUUCAGCGAGGAGGCGUUACUAGCAGAAGAAGCACCGGCUAACUCCGUGCCAGCCGCGGCGGUAAAC
rnacentral:rRNA from 1 species